AAGUUGCAUGUUAAUCUUCUUCUCCCCGAAACCAAAAGAAAGGAAAAGGGUUAUGGAAGCUUGAACUUUCAGCCAAAUUUAGAUCGCCAAUUUGUGAAACGUGUCUAGCCGAUCGUCGAGCUCAUGUGAGUAGCAUCGUGUAGCUUAUAUUCCGACCCACAGCUCGUGUGAGCAGGCCUAUUUCACAGCUCGUGUGAACAAUGAUGUAAAGGAAAUGUUAUGAUUAUAUGUAAAGGCACACUUUGUAUAAGCUUUCCCGAGUAUCUGAGUAAUUCUAAAUGGUUCAACGGGCAAAAAAAUAAAGAAUGGAAAUAUUAUCGGAAGUUCAAUCAAUUUGGAAGCUCAUCGGAGAUCUAUCACACUAUCCAGAAAUCUUUUUAGUAGUUUUUGAGUAUUUUGGCUAAGGUUUAUAAUGGCAUGUAUAUGAUGAUUUGUAAUGGUAUUUUUAUGAAUGUUUGGUUGAUGUUUUGGCAUGUAUAAGUUUUGAAAGUUAAGUUCGUUUGGUUCCGUUUGAUGCCUUGUUAAAUUGUGUCAAUUUGGUUACCUUACUAUGAAUGUUUGUAUGGCUCAUUGUGGUAUGUUUGGAAUGGUAUGAUAAUGGUCAAAAUUAUGGCAUGUUUUGGUAA